rnacentral:ncRNA from 1 species
CUAAAGGCAAUGACGGACAGGAGUAAGCCAAGCAUGCUUUUCAGAGAGGGAACGGACGGUGAAAGUUCCUAAGGCGUGCCGCCGAAGGUCGGUCCCGAGCAGCCGUGCCGAAAUUUAAGUAGGCCGGACGGGCGCUCCCGUUACAGAGCAGUGAGUGCCGCGCAUCGCGCGGAAUUCAGGUGGUACCGCGUAAUACUGCGCCCUGAUG